rnacentral:lncRNA from 10 species
AAUAGUUCAUGGGGUGGCCUGAAUGCAGUGGUGUUUGCAACUAAUUAAUCACAACCAGUUACAGAUUUCUUUGCUCCUUCUCCAUUCCCACUACUUCACUUGACUAGCCUUAAAAAAGAAAAAAAAAAGGAUGAGUUCAUGGUUUAUGCCAACAGAGAGUCAAUUGAAUAUAAUAGAUAUGUUCAAAAAAGGCACCGAAGGCAUGUGUAUUUGUCAUCUAUUCCUUUUAUCUCGUCAUAGAAAAGAUUUGAGACCAUGAAAGCUAAAGGAGAGAAACCAUCAUUUUUUCAAACCCCUCCUUUAAUGUAAACUAAAUGUAAACUAAAUGUAAGCUUUGGUAGAUUUUCAAAGCUUCCAAGAAUGUGACAAUGGAUUAACCUCUGUGAUACGUUCUGAAAAAAUCCAUAAAAUAAACUUGUUGCCACGGAAAGAACAAUUACUUAUUAGAAAAAAGCAUGCCAUUGGUUUUUUUCCCUCCAUGUGAUAUUAUUCCAAAUGUGUUGGAUCCAUUCCUGCCUCUGAAUCAAUGCUCUCUUUUGGUGUGAUGGAAGAAAGUUUAAUUUCAAUCAUUUGAUGCCAAAAAGCCUAGUUGGAAAAAAUGUAAAAACCCAUUCAACUUGAUGUUUUGGGGACUUGAUGCAGAGCAUCAACUUUCAAGAUAUCUGG